rnacentral:sRNA from 1 species
GCUGGGCGUGGUGGUGUGCGCCUGUAAUCCCAGCAGUUUGGGAGACUGAGGCAAGAGGAUUGUAAAUUCAAAGCCAGACUCAGCAACUUAGCGAAGCCCUGUCUCAAAAUUAAAUUUUGAGACCCUGUCUCAA